rnacentral:rRNA from 1 species
GAUGAACGCUGGCGGCGUGCCUAAUACAUGCAAGUCGAGCGAACAGACGAGGAGCUUGCUCCUCUGACGUUAGCGGCGGACGGGUGAGUAACACGUGGAUAACCUACCUAUAAGACUGGGAUAACUUCGGGAAACCGGAGAUAAUACCGGAUAAUAUAUUGAACCGCAUGGUUCAAUAGUGAAAGACGGUUUUGCUGUCACUUAUAGCUGGAUCCGCGCCGCAUUAGCUAGUUGGUAAGGUAACGGCUUACCAAGGCAACGAUGCGUAGCCGACCUGAGAGGGGGAUCGGCCACACGGGAAGUGAGACGCGGUCCAGACUACUACGGGAGGCAGCAGUAGGGAAUCUUCCGCAAUGGGCGAAAGCUUGACGGAGCAACGCCGCGUGAGUGAUGAAGGUCUUCGGAUCGUAAAACUCUGUUAUUAGGGAAGAACAAAUGUGUAAGUAACUAUGCACGUCUUGACGGUACCUAAUCAGAAAGCCACGGCUAACUACGUG